GAGGUCCGAACCGACUAGUGUUGCAAAACUAGCGGAUGAGCUGUGGAUAGGGGUGAAAGGCUAAACAAACUUGGAAAUAGCUGGUUCUCUCCGAAAACUAUUUAGGUAGUGCCUCAAGUAUUACCUGCGGGGGGUAGAGCACUGUUUAGGCUAGGGGGGUCAUGGCGACUUACCAAACCUAUGCAAACUCCGAAUACCGCAGAGUACAGCUUGGGAGACAGAGCACCGGGUGCUAACGUCCGGACUCAAGAGGGAAACAACCCAGACCGCCAGCUAAGGUCCCUAAAAUUGGCUAAGUGGGAAACGAAGUGGGAAGGCUAAAACAGUCCAGGAUGUUGGCUUAGAAGCAGCCAUCAUUUAAAGAAAGCGUAAUAGCUCACUGAUCGAGUCGUCCUGCGCGGAAGAUGUAACGGGGCUAAGCCAGUUACCGAAGCUGCGGAUUUGCAAUUUAUUGCAAGUGGUAGGAGAGCGUUCUGUAAGCCUGUGAAGGUGCCUGGUAACGGGUGCUGGAGGUAUCAGAAGUGCGAAUGCUGACAUGAGUAGCGUUAAAGGGGGUGAAAAGCCCCCCUCGCCGUAAGCGCAAGGUUUCCUACGCAACGUUCAUCGGCGUAGGGUGAGUCGGCCCCUAAGGCGAGGCAGAGAUGCGUAGCUGAUGGGAAACAGGUCAAUAUUCCUGUACCGAUGUGUAGUGCGAUGUGGGGACGGAGAAGGUUAGCUCAGCCAACUGUUGGAUAUGUUGGUUCAAGCCUGUAGUCGUGCCUGGUAGGCAAAUCCGCCGGGCUUAGAUGAGGGGUGAUAACGAGUCUGCUUGCAGACGAAGUGAGUGAUACCCUGCUUCCAGGAAAAGCCACUAAGCUUCAGCUACACACGACCGUACCGCAAACCGACACU
rnacentral:rRNA from 1 species